CGCGCUUUUUUAUUUAACUGUGAAUCACCGAGUGUUACCGCGGAUAAUCUGAAUUGCAUAAUUCAUAACACCAAAGGGUUCAUUUCUACGUGACGCCACGCUGCGUUUUAAACAGGGGGAAACACAAUGAAGCGUGUCACGGUCUCAUUUAUACGCUCUUCGCUUUAGGGAAAUAUCAGAAACAAUCGCGGUUAAAUGUAAUCUUUAAAUCUCGUUCGGUUAAACGAGAACACUGGCGCAAGAUUUAUGAAGUGGCGCGGAUAUUGCCAUUGCCAACUCUUUUAAACUCCAAGCUUCCUAAUGGGAUUAGCGUCACAUUCACUUGUUGCGUGAGAUAAAAUAUUUUAAUUUCGUGAGGAUUUUCCGCAAGAAAAAAAACGUGGUCUGGGACGCUAGUCAUUAAAGUCAUUACCUGGCCCUUUGUUGAAUAGGAACUUGGCUAAGGACUACUGAGGAGGGAAAGUUGGCAUCAACUCAUCAUCAGGGAUCCCUUAAACCACAUACGGAAUCAGCUGUUCCAGUGUGUCCAGUGACUGUUGGCUGCAAAGACCAUGAGUCAGAGGAAUAGCAUUCCCCGGCUGACAUGUGGUGCUGCCUGGCUGCUUGGUUGAACUCACAGGUCUGACACUGGAGACAGGCAGAGUCUCCAAGGCUCAUCAUGACCCUCUACGGGAUAAGCAGUUAUGGAACACGGAUGGAUGGAUGGUAAAGGUUUAAAUCUGGGUAUGUGUGAGAAUCCUCCUUGGAAAAAGAAGCCAGCUCCUUUUGGAUGAGCGGUGAUGAAGAUUCUUGGUGGAAUUCCCUUUUAAGAGCCUUGUCAGUCUGAGGCCUGCUUGGCGAUCCCAUGUCCCAGUGGUGCCCCUCAGCUCAUGCCAACAACGAUUGAAAAGGCGCCUCUUUCUCUCAAGGUCGGCAUGCAAUACAUUAUGGGAACCAUAAAUACGGCCCAGCCCUCCCUUGAUUUAUAUCCAAAUAAUGGAAUGGAAAUAAAAGAUAAUAUAAAAUAACCUUCAAUAAAAUAAAUCUCAUUCUAUUGCCCAAGUAGCCCCAGUGUUUGCACAUUCGCUUUAAAAAUAUAUAUUAAUAAGGUAAAGAUUACAUAACAGUGAUGUCAUGCAUGUAAUUGAGGGAAAGGUAACAUACAGAGAGCCAGAGAUGGAAAUCGGACACAAAACCCUGGGGGUCUGAAGCCAGACUACUUCUCACUGAGCUACCGAGCCUCAUUAUGUGACAAUAAUGUAAUAAUUAUAAUAAUA